rnacentral:rRNA from 1 species
GACGAACGCUGGCGGCGUGCUUAACACAUGCAAGUCGAGCGAGGUCCAUCCAGUGGCAACACUGGUGAAGACCUAGCGGCGAACGGGUGAGUGACACGUGAGGAACCUGCCCCAGAGACCGGGAUAACCCUCCGAAAGGAGAGCUAAUACCGGAUGCCGUCAUCGGAUCGCAUGGUCUGAUGACGAAAUGGAUUCCGCUCUGGGAGGGCCUCGCGGCCUAUCAGCUUGUUGGUGAGGUAACGGCUCACCAAGGCAUCGACGGGUAGCUGGUCUGAGAGGACGAUCAGCCACACUGGGACUGAGACACGGCCCAGACUCCUACGGGAGGCAGCAGUGGGGAAUCUUGCGCAAUGGGCGAAAGCCUGACGCAGCAACGCCGCGU